CACGUAGGGUGCGAGCGUUGUCCGGAAUUAUUGGGCGUAAAGAGCUCGUAGGCGGUGUGUCACGUCGGCCGUGAAAACCUGCAGCUUAACUGUGGGCGUGCGGUCGAUACGGGCAUCACUGGAGUUCGGCAGGGGAGACUGGAAUUCCUGGUGUAGCGGUGAAAUGCGCAGAUAUCGGAAGGAACAUCAGUGGCGAAAGCGGCUUCCUGGACCAGUACCGACGUUCAGGCACGAAAGCGUGGGGAGCAAACAGG
rnacentral:rRNA from 1 species